rnacentral:rRNA from 1 species
GGGUUAAGUCCCGUAACGAGCGCAACCCUUGUCCUAGUUACCAGCACGUUAUGGUGGGCACUCUAAGGAGACUGCCGGUGACAAACCGGAGGAAGUGGGGAUGACGUCAAGUCAUCAUGGCCCUUACGGCCUGGGCUACACACGUGCUACAAUGGUCGGUACAAAGGGUUGCAACCGCCGCGAGGUGGAGCUAAUCCCAUAAAACCGAUCGUAGUCCGGAUCGCAGUCUGCAACUCGACUGCGUGAAGUCGGAAUCGCUAGUAAUCGUGAAUCAGAAUGUCACGGUGAAUACGUUCCCGGGCCCUU